rfam:Gossypium hirsutum cultivar TM-1 chromosome 4, whole genome shotgun sequence
UAAAAAAAUUUAGUCAUUUCUACUGUUGAAAACUGGUAUGGCUAACAAAAUAAUCGAAUAGUGACACGUGAUGUGCCAUGUGUACCUCAUGCUAACAUAUAAGGACCAAUUGUUAGCAGUAGAAUUGAAGGACCAAUUUAAUUUUUA